CGACUCCUACGGGAGGCAGCAGUGGGGAAUAUUGCACAAUGGGGGAAACCCUGAUGCAGCGACGCCGCGUGAGUGAAGAAGUACUUCGGUAUGUAAAGCUCUAUCAGCAGGGAAGAAAAUGACGGUACCUGACUAAGAAGCCCCGGCUAACUACGUGCCGGCAGCCGCGGUAAUACGUAGGGGGCAAGCGUUAUCCGGAUUUACUGGGUGUAAAGGGAGCGUAGACGGCAUGGCAAGUCAGAUGUGAAAGCCCGGGGCUCAACCCCGGGACUGCAUUUGAAACUGUCAGGCUGGAGUGCAGGAGAGGUAAGUGGAAUUCCUAGUGUAGCGGUGAAAUGCGUAGAUAUUAGGAGGAACACCAGUGGCGAAGGCGACUUUCUGGACAGUAACUGACGUUGAGGCACGAAAGUGUGGGGAGCAAACAGGAUUAGAUACCCCAGUAACA
rnacentral:rRNA from 1 species